CCUACGGGGGGCUGCAGUGGGGAAUAUUGGACAAUGGGGGGAACCCUGAUCCAGCCAUGCCGCGUGUGUGAAGAAGGCCCUCGGGUUGUAAAGCACUUUCAGUGAGGAAGAACGCCUGGUGGUUAAUACCCAUCAGGAAAGACAUCACUCACAGAAGAAGCACCGGCUAACUCCGUGCCAGCAGCCGCGGUAAUACGGAGGGUGCGAGCGUUAAUCGGAAUUACUGGGCGUAAAGCGCGCGUAGGUGGCUUGAUAAGCCGGUUGUGAAAGCCCCGGGCUCAACCUGGGAACGGCAUCCGGAGCUGUCAAGCUAGAGUGCAGGAGAGGAAGGUAGAAUUCCCGGUGUAGCGGUGAAAUGCGUAGAGAUCGGGAGGAAUACCAGUGGCGAAGGCGGCCUUCUGGACUGACACUGACACUGAGGUGCGAAAGCGUGGGUAGCAAACAGGAUUAGAUACCCUGGUAGUC
rnacentral:rRNA from 1 species